rnacentral:rRNA from 1 species
ACGCUGGCGGCGUGCCUAAUACAUGCAAGUCGAGCGGACCAAAGGGAGCUUGCUCCUGGAGGUUAGCGGCGAACGGGUGAGUAACACGUGGGCAACCUGCCUGUAAGACUGGGAUAACAUCGAGAAAUCGGUGCUAAUACCGGAUAAUAAAAAGAACUGCAUGGUUCUUUUUGAAAGAUGGUUUCGGCUAUCACUUACAGAUGGGCCCGCGGCGCAUUAGCUAGUUGGUGAGGUAACGGCUCACCAAGGCGACGAUGCGUAGCCGACCUGAGAGGGUGAUCGGCCACACUGGGACUGAGACACGGCCCAGACUCCUACGGGAGGCAGCAGUAGGGAAUCUUCCGCAAUGGACGAAAGUCUGACGGAGCAACGCCGCGUGAGUGAUGAAGGUUUUCGGAUCGUAAAACUCUGUUGUUAGGGAAGAACAAGUGCCGUUCGAAAGGGCGGCACCUUGACGGUACCUAACGAGAAAGCCACGGCUAACUACGUG